rnacentral:rRNA from 1 species
GCGAACAGGGAAUAUGCUCAGCAUACAAAUGCUUGUAACUUAACCGGUGUCAUCUUGAGAUGUUAUGUUUAGUGAAGUUUCGUUUAUCCUAUAAUGUACAUUUAGUCCAAGUCCACCUUGAAUGGGGCAUUAUCCAUAGAGGGUGCCAGCCCCGUAGUGACAAAUGUAGAUAAAUCAUUAUAGGUGAAACUUUCCUUAGAGUCGGGUUGCUUGUAAAUGCAGCUCUAAGUUGGUGGUAAACUCCAUCUAAAGCUAAAUAUAACCACGAGACCGAUAGCGAACAAGUACCAUGAGGGAAAGUUGAAAAGAACUUUGAAGAGAGAGUUCAAUAGUACGUGAAACUGUUUAGGGGUAAACGGGAGAAAUCCGAAAAUCUGAAGGAAGUGAUUCACGUAUUAUCUACAUAUUAUAUUAUACUUGAUUGAUGAUUAUUAUACUCCUUGCAUUCAAUUUAUUGUAUGUUAAGGGUUCCGUUUAAUAUCACAUUUCUUGUAUAAAUCAAUAUUAUGUGGUUUACCGCAUUUCAAACCUUCCUUAAAACAGAAAACGUCGCAACCCAUUGGAUUCCAGUCUAAGAUAUUAUAGGGAGUCUCAUAUGAAACUUGCAUUUUUUAUGUAUAGUUGUUUUAUGUAGACCUAUAAAUUUUCUGACUGAUUAUUCGAUGGUAUCAAAAUAAAUAAGAUUAACCCUCGCAUGACGAGUUUGAGUAUAUUUAGAAAAUAAUUUGUAUUCCAUUUGUGAUAUUUUUAGUUCGGUCCAAAAGGCCCGUCUAGAGAAUAGCAUUGGAUAUGAAUAUAUUCUCAAACAGUGGUAAUCUUUGUUUGCGGCGAAUAUGUUUCGGAAUUUCGCCCGACCCGUCUUGAAACACGGACCAAGGAGUCUAACAUGUACGCAAGUCAUUGGGUUUUAAAACCUAAAGGCAUAAUGAAAGUAAAGAAUUGUUUUUAACAAUUUGUGGGAUGAUAGAUUAUCUUUACAUUUUAUGUUUGAUAAUCUCGCAAUCCUGGGGCGUCUCAUUCUUAUUGCAAGAAGAGGCGCACCUUGAGCGUAUACGUUGGGACCCGAAAGAUGGUGAACUAUGCCUGGCGAGGACAAAGUCAGGGGAAACCCUGAUGGAGGUCCGUAGCGAUUCUGACGUGCAAAUCGAUCGUCGGAGCUGGGUAUAGGGGCGAAAGACUAAUCGAACCAUCUAGUAGCUGGUUCCCUCCGAAGUUUCCCUCAGGAUAGCUGGCAUUCAUUGAAAAAUUAUUAAGAGUCUCAUGCGGUAAAGCGAAUGAUUAGAGGCCUUGGGGCCGAAACGACCUCAACCUAUUCUCAAACUUUAAAUGGGUGAGAUCUCAAGCUUGCUUAAAUGAAGCUGUGAGAUAAAUAUAUAUUAUUUAAUUUUCAUUCAUUAAAAAAAUUUAUUGACAAAAAAAUAAAAUGAUGAAAUUAUAUAUAUAAUAAGGAUCAGAGUGCCAAGUGGGCCAAUUUUGGUAAGCAGAACUGGCGCUGUGGGAUGAACCAAACGUAAUGUUACGGUGCCCAAAUUAACAACUCAUGCAGAUACCAUGAAAGGCGUUGGUUGCUUAAAACAGCAGGACGGUGGACAUGGAAGUCGUAAUCCGCUAAGGAGUGUGUAACAACUCACCUGCCGAAGCAACUAGCCCUUAAAAUGGAUGGCGCUUAAGUUGUAUACCUAUACAUUACCGCUAAAGUAAAUGGUUUAUGUUCAAUUUCGAUUGAAUUAUAAGCUUUGAAACUUUAGUGAGUAGGAGGGUACAAUGGUUAGCAUAGAAGUGUUUGGCGUAAGCCUGCAUGGAGCUGCCAUUGGUACAGAUCUUGGUGGUAGUAGCAAAUAAUCGAAUGAGACCUUGGAGGACUGAAGUGGAGAAGGGUUUCGUGUGAACAGUGGUUGAUCACGAGUUAGUCGGUCCUAAGUUCAAGGCGAAAGUCGAAAAUUUUCAAGUUUUAUUAAUAAUAAUAAUAUAAGAAGCACUUGAAUAAUUUUGAACGAAAGGGAAUACGGUUCCAAUUCCGUAACCUGUUGAGUAUCCGUUUGUUAUUAAAUAUGGGCCUUGUGCUCAUCCUGGCAACAGGAACAACCAUAAAGAAGCCGUCGAGAGGUAUCGGAAGAGUUUUCUUUUCUGUUUUAUAGUCGUACUACCAUGGAAGUCUUUCGAAGAGAGAUAUGGUAGAUGGACUAGAAGAGCAUGACAUUUACUGUUGUGUCGAUAUUUUCUCCUCGGACCUUGAAAAUUUAUGGUGGGGUCACGCAAACUUCUCAACAGGCCGUACCAAUAUCCGCAGCUGGUCUCCAAGGUGAAGAGUCUCUAGUC